rnacentral:tRNA from 1 species
GCCUGGGUGGCUCAGUGGUUGAGCGCCUGCCUUUGGCUCAGGGCGUGCCUUUGGCUCCCCGGUCCUGGGAUCAAGUCCCACAUCAGGCU